AAAACAUCGCCUCUUGCAAAGUAAUGAAUAAGAGGUCCCGCCUGCCCUGUGACUCUAAGUUUAACGGCCGCGGUAUUUUGACCGUGCGAAGGUAGCGCAAUCACUUGUCUUUUAAAUGGAGACCUGUAUGAAUGGCAUAACGAGGGCUUAGCUGUCUCCUUUCUCUAGUCAAUGAAAUUGAUCUCCCCGUGCAGAAGCGGGGAUAGAACCAUAAGACGAGAAGACCCUAUGGAGCUUUAGACGCCAAGACAGACCAUGUUAAACACCUCCCCACAAGGAGCCCAAACCAAAUGGUCCCUGCCCUAGUGUCUUUGGUUGGGGCGACCGCGGGGAACCAUAAAACCCCCAUGUGGAAUGGGAGCACCCUCUCCUACAACUAAGAGCUACAGCUCUAAUGAGCAGAAUUUCUGACCAACAAGAUCCGGCAAUGCCGAUCAACGGACCGAGUUACCCUAGGGAUAACAGCGCAAUCCCCUUUUAGAGCCCAUAUCGACAAGGGGGUUUACGACCUCGAUGUUGGAUCAGGACAUCCUAAUGGUGCAGCCGCUAUUAAGGGUUCGUUUGUUCAACGAUUAAAGUCCUACGUG
rnacentral:rRNA from 1 species